ACUCAAAUGAAUAGACGGGGGCCCGCACAAGCGGCGGAGCAUGUGGCUUAAUUCGAUGCAACGCGAAGAACCUUACCAAGGCUUGACAUGCAGGGAAAUCUCGUAGAGAUACGGGGUCCGCAAGGGUCCUGCACAGGUGGUGCAUGGCUGUCGUCAGCUCGUGUCGUGAGAUGUUGGGUUAAGUCCCGCAACGAGCGCAACCCUCGUCCUAUGUUGCCAGCACGUUAUGGUGGGGACUCAUAGGAGACUGCCGGGGUCAACUCGGAGGAAGGUGGGGAUGACGUCAAGUCAUCAUGCCCCUUACGUCUUGGGCUGCACACAUGCUACAAUGGCCGGUACAAAGGGCUGCGAUACCGCGAGGUGGAGCGAAUCCCAAAAAGCCGGUCUCAGUUCGGAUCGGGGUCUGCAACUCGACCCCGUGAAGUCGGAGUCGCUAGUAAUCGCAGAUCAGCAAUGCUGCGGUGAAUACGUUCCCGGGCCUUGCACACACCGCCCGU
rnacentral:rRNA from 1 species